rnacentral:rRNA from 1 species
AGCGAACGCUGGCGGCAGGCCUAACACAUGCAAGUCGAACGAACUCUUCGGAGUUAGUGGCGGACGGGUGAGUAACACGUGGGAACGUGCCUUUAGGUUCGGAAUAACUCAGGGAAACUUGUGCUAAUACCGAAUGUGCCCUUCGGGGAAGGAUUUAUCGCCUUUAGAGCGGCCCGCGUCUGAUUAGCUAGUUGGUGAGGUAAAGGCUCACCAAGGCAACGAUCAGUAGCUGGUCUGAGAGGAUGACCAGCCACAUUGGGACGUGAGACACGGCCCAAACUACCUACGGGAGGCAGCAGUGGGGAAUCUUGCGCAAUGGGCGAAAGCCUGACGCAGCCAUGCCGCGUGGAUGAUGAAGGUCUUAGGAUUGUAAAAUCCUUUCACCGGUGAAGAUAAUGACUGUAGCCGGAGAAGAAGCCCCGGCUAACUUCGUGCCAGCAGCCGCGG